UAGUAAUUUUUAAUUAAACGUAAAUUAGUAAAUAAUGUAAUUUCACAUUAUAAUGAGAAUUAAAGUAUUAGUAAUUUAUUUUUGUUACUAAAAUUAAAUUAAGCUGCAUAUGAAUCUUUUUAGUACUAAACUGCUUUGGAAUGAAUUUUUUGGGGGGACAACAGCAGGAUUAGAGCCAUCUUCUAGAUGCCAUCAGGUAGGUGCGCUAGCGUAGUCGUUUGUUGUAGCAUUAUAUCCCCUUUCCCCCUUUUUAAAAAUGUUUGUAAGACGCCUGAAAUUUGUAUAAAUUAGUUAUAUAAGUGGUCGAAUAAGUAUUGGUGAGACUUGGAAAAUAGAAGAGGACAGAGAAGAGGAUUGCUUUGAAAUAGAAGGAAAGGAGAUAGAAGAUGUUUGAGGAAAGGAGGAGGAUUUUGUUUGCUGUAACGGAAGUUUUUUGAAUGAAAUUUGGAGCAACUGUAUUAAGAUGUUAUUGGUAUCUUGGACAUCAAGUUUCAUUUAUUUAUGUAUUAUAUGCAUAUUUAUUGGUGGAAAUGUAGAAUGGCAGCUGUUAUAACAACUUGGAUGGAUUAUUAGAAACACCAAAGAACUUUUGACAUAAUUUAAACUGCGAAAAGGCUCACAAAUAACCAAUUUAUUCUACAGUAGACACAGGACAUUAAAUUGACUUCAACAACGCAGAUAUCUCUCAAAAAUGAUAUCGGUUCGAGUGAUGUACUGGGCGUUAAUAGUUGCUGUUACAAAACUUCAAAUGAGUUACUACUGUACAUAAGUUGGAGGAAUGCCAAGGAAUUUUUUGAAUAAAGUGAUACUGGAAAUCUUACUCACAAAUGACAAUUUUAAGAUACAAUCAAUAGUAUUUGGAUUGAUUGGCCUUCAUUACCGUUGCGCUAUGAAAAUGUAAGCAAUACAAAUUGGUAUUAAUGGACGUUUUGACAGCUGUUUUCAAUCCAAGUUCCAGUUUUAAUGGAAAAUCUUUAAUGGACACUGAAAAAUGCCAUUUACUGGAUUGACUUCAACACCUGUUGUCUUUUAAUAAUGGUAUACAAUGGGACAAUUGGUGUUAGAAGUCAACAAGUAGUACUAGUUGCAAAUAAUAUAUUAUGGCGGCCAUCAAAAAACUUUAAAUGAAAUGAAAGUUGCAGAAAAAGACUCAGAGGACUGUACUUAAUAGCUGUUAGAGUGGAUGCAGUCCUUCAUCAAUGUGAGCUGAAGAAAUUGAUGGUAAUGGACAUUUUGACAGCUACUGUCACAACUCAACGAACAAGUUGCAGCUUUGAAGGAACAUUUUUGAUUGGAUACAGAAAGAUGUCAGUCGUUUCAGGAUGUAAAGUUAAUAGAACCAGGGUCGGGCUCGACAUCUGUUGCCUUUUAAUAAUGGCAUACGAUAGGACAAUGGCUAUUAGAAAUCGAUAAGACAUACUAGCUGCAAAUAAUAUGUAUGAUGGUCAUAAAAGAGAUUUAAAUGAAAUGAGAAACUCUUGUGCAGAAGAAAUCAAGGAAAACCAUUUUGAACUGCUGUUACUUAAUAGCUGUUAGAGCGGAUCCAGUUCUUCAUCAAUGGUAUAUGCUGGGACAAUUGCUGUUAAAAAUCCACAAGCCGUACUAUCUGUAAAUAUUAUGGUGGACAUGAAAAAGCUUUAAAUGGAAUGAAACUUACAAGAAAAGACUUAGAAAGACCAUUUAGGACUGUACUUAAUAGCUGUUGAAAAGUGGUCGCAGUCCUUUAUCAAUGAUAUCUCUGCAUUUUCUUAACAAUGGAUAUCAACAGUUGCUCCUACUCCUCACUUUCCUCUUUCACUCAAAAUAAAGCAGACUCAAUACUUCUCAAUGCCUCACCAAGGUUCGUUAGCUUCAUUAAUAUUGUUAUUGUUUCAAUAAAUUUGUUUACUGGUUUUUAUCCUGUUCUUAACUAUUUAAGUAUAUCAGGCGUCAUAUUAGUGUCAUUGAUUAUUUGUAAAAUUUUGAUAAUCUGGAUAAAAAUCUUUUUUUUUUUAAAUAGGACCAUUAUUUCUGUUUAUAUUAUCUUUUUAUUUAUUUAUUUUGAUACUCUAUUUAUAAUCUAAUCGCCUCUAGUUUGAGGCAUGUUUGAUUAAUUUUAAAUCAUUAAAAUCUAUGCAUUAAUCUUUAUGAAAAAUAUGUUGAGCAAUAUUAUAGUAAUCUGUUAUAAUUUCUCUUAAGCUUUUUUUCAAUCUCAUUUAUCUUUUAUUUUUGCAUUCAUUAAAGGUCAUUAGAUAUUGUAAUUAUUAAUUAAAUUGUUAGUUGUAUUAUAACGUAAUAUUUUUUUAAUAGAAUUAAAGACAUUCUUUAUAAAUUUGUAUCAUUACCAAUUAUUUAUAGUAGUAGUUUUUUAGUUAUUUUUAAUUAAUUACUCUAAAUUUAUUCCGGAUUAUCAAAAUUAUAAAUGUUAUGCUUGCGCAGCUGCGUCACUAUAGCUCUAUGAACACGAGUAUUAUUUUGGUUUUAAAGUUUAUAUUUUUACAUAUUUUAUUUAUAAUAAAUACAUAUAUCUACGAUCAGAUGAUAAUUUAAUAGUAAUGGUCAAUUUAAUCAUUUUUAUAAGUUCUGGAUUGAUUAUUUUUAGUAAAAUAAUCCAUUUUGUUAAUACUUGUGUUCAUAUAGUUUUUUUUUGCUUUUGUGAAUUAUUUUUGGUACCCUAGGACAGGAUGGGGUGGUAAAGGGAAUAAUUGCCCCUCCCAGAAAGUAAUUUAUAAAUAAAAUAAAAAUAAUGACAAUUCCAAGUUUAUUUUUUUCCCACGAUUACUAAAAAACCUUUUAGCAAAAAUUUCAUUCAAAUCUACUAGUUUACUUAAAUAUCGCAAUUAUUCCUCCCAGAUCCAGUCUGUAGAUGCGCCACUGGCCUAGGGACGGAUGUUUUUUCAUGACUGAUCAAUUUUUGUCAUUAUAAAAUAUUUUUUUUUUCAAACGUCACAAAGUAUUAAUUUUUGCGACGUGAUUGACAAUAUAAAAAAUAUUUUAAUGCCUAGGCAUAAAAAUACGAAAAAAUAUAUUAUUAAACUGACAUUAAGUGUCAAAUUUAACUAGCGUAAUCAUAGUUUCUCGAUAUAUAAUUACUUACUUUUAAAUGUUUUUAUUUUAUUUGCGUCGUUCUUUGUGUUUAAAUCAUUGCAUCAAUUAUUUGUGACGUUUGAAAAAAAUAGUAUGUUCUAUUCGGAGUAAAAAUGACUUUUUGUGCCUCGCCUGUAUGUCGAACGUACAGCGUCGCCACAAAAAGUAUCAUUUUUACUCCUAAUAAAUCGAUAUACAUACUAUUUUGUAUUGUUUUAUGUCAUGUGUAAUAUAGUCUAUCCAAUGAGAGGAGCCCUGACAGUGACAGUUGUGUGUGUCAUUUUAAUUAACAGGUAAAUUGUAUUUUCUGUCAUUUUUAAGAAUGUCAUCUGUCAAACUCUCCUUCGGCUCAUUGAACAGGCUAUAUGACGUAAGCCAUUUUGUAUAUAUUUGUAAUAAUAAUAAUUUUAAUGCAGCGAAAUGGAACAAAUUCGAUAAUAAAUAAAUAGGAAUAUGUCGUAUAAAACGCUUGCCCACGUGGACUGACAAGAUUUUUAUACAGGGUUCGUCAUGAAACAGUCGCUAAUACCGAUUUUCUAUUGUAUAUUCUAAAAUCUAGCGCAUCUGUCAUAACAUAAUACAAAUUAACUUAACAAUUUUAUUUUUUACAUACAACAUUGCUGUUUGUCCUAAUUUUAAACAAAAAUUAUACUACUUAUUUAUAUCUUUUUCAAUUUUUUUGUAAAUAAAUAAAAAAUAAAAAGUUUUUGGUCAAGUUUUAAUUUUAAAUUAGCAAACAUGUCAUAAGCUCUCAAUCGUUACAGUUAUUGGUAUAAACAUGUUUAAUGUUUUACCCUGUAUAUUAGGAGUGUAUUAAAUAGCACUUUUUUUCUGAUUUCAAAGAUUAUCACACAUGCUUUUUAAUUUUAACAGUGUAAAAAUGUUGUAAGUUGUCAAUUUUGUUAGUGUUAUUGGUAUGAAAUGUAUGUUUUUAAAAUGGGACACCCUGUAUAUUAAAAGUAAAUAUGAUAGCAGAUUUUUUUAUAUCAAAUAUAUAUUACACAUUCUUUUAUUUUUAACAGAGACAGAGUAUAUUCAUAUUAUAUCUAAAUAUAUUCUAAGAUCGCCUAGCGCAUUCGCCAUAAUAUAAACUAAGCGAAACUAUUUAUUUUUUUAAAUAAUAUUUAUUAUCGCAUUUAUUCCAUAUUCAUUUGUCUUGCUCGAAGUUCUGUAAUUAAUUAUCUAGAAGUACAUGGGGCACCAUCUGUUUGUUAUAACGCUUCUUUUUUAAUAUUUUGUCUGUGAUAUUUCAACUUAAAAACUUUGUGUUUGACGU